CUUUUGCCUCUGGCAUGUGGUCCCCUGGAAGACGGACAGGAGGGAAUGUGGCCCCUGGCUGGAAGAGACCUGGCCCCCGGUGGUGGGCGUUGCGAGCUGUUCAGGGGCUUGAGCUAAACUGGGUGAAGGUGCCUUACUCACUGGGGUGGGGUGUCACCAGAAGGCGCUGCUGGCCUGCUCUCUGCUGUACUUCAGCAUCACCUGUGCAGAUACAGGAGGUAGGUACUGGCUUGGCAGGAGUUAGGUAACAAGGCAAUGCUCUGAUGGGGACCACACUGCAGGGGCGCCAAAAUUAGUGUCACACAUGGCGCUGCUGAAUUUUGAGAGCCCAAAGUCUACCACUGCUAUUGUUCUGGCCUGGUUCCAUAGUUUGAGUAACUUGAUGCUCAGGUAAAGUCUGAAUUUCUUUUGCAGAGCCUAAACCCACUGGCUCCCCAGUCUGCUUGCCUGCCUGCCUGCAACUCUCCAUAUCAUUGGCCAACUGCCCUCCUCCUUCUUCCUGUACUGACUGGACCUCCUGCCUUGUCUUCGCCUGCUCCAUCUCCACCCCACCAGCCCUGAUGCACCAUCCAGGCAGUUCCAUCUCCCAUAGCAUUCUAUAAGAAGCAGG